GGGCUGGUAGCGUGGCGGCCGUGGGUCGUACCCGGGGAGGAGUGUGUAGGUUGGGUGGUGGCGGGGGAGGGAGGGAAAGGAAGUCCGGGCUGGUCCGAGGCGGAGUUGGGUCCCGGGGAGGAUGCGAGCCGCCAGGUCCCACCCGUCGCGGUGAAGAAAGGAGGGCGGGAGCAAGAGCCAGACCAUCCCGCCAGGACCACCUCGCCGCCGUGCGGGGCGGUGCCCGUUACUACCUGCCUCGGGGAGAGACGAGGCGGCCAGUAGCCGGUCCCAACCGGACCUCGAUCCCCCUUUUCUUUUCAAAUUUAUUUUCUUCCUUCCUCGUUUUCCUUCAUUCUCUCGUAUAACGACUCCCUUGCAGCCCUCCCGCUCCCUUGGCUGUCCCUGCCCUGGAGGUGUGGCUGUCCCCAUGCCCUCCUCUCGCCUCUCUCCCCCACCCCCGCCAAUCCGGCGCGCAGUGCAGCAGUUUGAAUACUGCCCGCCUCUCUCCUCGUCGCGGCGGGAACGCAGUGGAUUCUUUCUCUGGCCCCUGCUCGAGAUGGGGUCCGUCCUCGCGCACCGCCCCCCCCCCCCCGGCUUCUUAGGGGCCAGCGGUGGGGAUGACGGGUUUGACCUUGGGGUGCGUCUCCCCUUCUAGGGGAGUCUGGGACACGCAAGCGGUUGGGGGUGCUGGUCGGGUGGGGUGGCCGGGGGGGCGGGGGGUGUCUGGGGAAACGGCGCACGGCAAGAGGAGCCCCUUCCUUUUCUAGACGUUUCUUUUGCCUCGCGUUAAAAGGCACGAAUAGAGGCCUCACCCACAGACAUCAGCGCUCUGACUCAAAGGGCAACAAAUUCUCAGUGUGUUCCUUAUCCAGUUGAAUACUGACAUGUGUUUAAACAAUAAGUUACAGUUGCAACUCGGCUCCUUUCAGAACCAAGCAAUGAAAAUUACUUGUACUGACCUGUCUGUACUGAUACAUAAUAAAAUUGCAGAAUGAUCAAA